rnacentral:rRNA from 1 species
AGUGAACGCUGGCGGUAGGCCUAAUACAUGCAAGUCGAACGACAGCACAGUAAGAGCUCGCCCUUACGGGUGGCGAGUGGCGGACGGGUGACAAAUAGAUCGGAAUCUACUUUUUCGUGGAGGAUAACGUAGGGCAACUUAUGCUACUACCGCAUACGUCCUACGGGUGAAAUCAAUAGAUAUUCGCACCUUGCCCGACUCAUUGAGACGGUGUCGGAUUAGCUAGUUGGCGAGGUAAAGGCCCACCAAGGCAACGAUGCGUAGCCGACCUGACAGGGUGAUCCGCCACACUGGAACUGAGACACGGUCCAGACUCCUACGGGAGGCAGCAGUAGGGAAUCUUCCGCAAUGGGCGAAAGCUUGACGGAGCAACGCCGCGUGAGUGAUGAAGGUCUUCGGAUUGUAAAACCCUUUUAUUAGGGAAGAAAAAAUGUGUAAGUAACUACGCACGUCUUGACGGUACCCAAUCAGAAAGCCACGGCUAACUACGUG